UACGUAGGGUGCAAGCGUUGUCCGGAAUUAUUGGGCGUAAAGAGCUCGUAGGCGGUUGUCGCGUCUGCUGUGAAAUCUUAGGGCUUAACCCUGAGCCUGCAGUCAGGGUACGGGCAGGACUGAGAGUGCGGUAGGGAGACUGGAAUUCCUGGUGUAGCGGUGAAAUGCGCAGAUAUCAGGAGGAACACCGGUGGCGAAGGCGGGUCUCUGGA
rnacentral:rRNA from 1 species